rnacentral:rRNA from 1 species
CCUACGGGUGGCAGCAGUGAGGAAUAUUGGUCAAUGGGCGAGAGCCUGAACCAGCCAAGUCGCGUGAGGGAGUACUGCCCUAUGGGUUGUAAACCUCUUCUGUCGGGGAGCAAAAGCCGGACGUGUCCGGGUGUGAGAGUACCCGAAGAAAAAGUAUCGGCAAAUUCCGGGCCAGCAGCCGCGGUAAUACGGAGGCGGCGGGCGUUAUCCGGAUUUAGGGGGUUAAAAGGGUGCGCAGGCGGAUUUUUAAGUCCGCGGGAAAAUCGAGGGGCUAAACCCCGACCAGCCGUUGAAACUGGGGAUCUGGAGUGUGCGAGAGGUAAGCGGAAUGCGUGGUGUAGCGGUGAAAUGCGUAGAUAUCACGAAGAACCCCGGUUGCGAAGGCGGCAUACCGGUGCACAACUGACGCUGAGGCGCGAAAGCGUGGGUAGCGAACAGGAUUAGAUACCCUUGUAGUC